UUUCCGUAGGUGAAACCUGCGGAAGGAUCAUUAAAAAAUAUCGCUCGAUUGAGAGUGAUUUAAUAAUCAUCCUACCCUUUGUGAAUUUGUUGUUUGUAAUAAUUUUUUUUGAUUUUAAAAAAAAAUUAUUUAUGGUUUGUCUAUCCCUAAAAUUGGUUUGUUUGUAAGACAAGUGAAUCAAAUUUAGGGAAUAGGCUUUCAUAAAUAAGUUUUUUUUUAAAGUCUUAAAGACCUUUUUUUAAAAUUAAACUUUGUAUUCAUUUGUCUAAAUUUUUUUAAAUAAUUUAAAAACAACUUUUGACAAUGGAUCUCUUGGUUCUCGCAACGAUGAAGAACGCAGCAAAAUGCGAUAAGUAAUGUGAAUUGCAGAAUACGUGAAUCAUCAAAUCUUCGAACGCACAUUGCACUUUUUUAGUUUACUAAAAAGUAUGUCUGUUUGAGUAUCAGUAAAAUAUUCUCAUAAAAACAUUUUUGUUUUUUAUGGUUAUGAGUGUUUUACAACGAUAAACAAGUUGUUUCACUUUAAAUUCAUUUUAAUUUAAGACCAUUUAUUGGUUUUAAUAAUAAAUUGGAUAAAAUUUUCCCGUAAAAAGGAAUAAACUUUUCAGUUAUUAUUAGACAAACUCGGUCCGAUUUAAAAGGAAAUUUAUAUUUAAAUAACUUGAUCUCAAAUCAGAUAAGAGUACCGCUGAACUUAAGCAUAUCAAUAAGCGGAGGAAAAGAAACUAACAAGGAUUCCCUUAGUAACGGCGAGUGAAGCGGGAAGAGCUCAAAUUUGAAAUCUUCAAGGUUCUACCUUGACGAAUUGUAGUUUAAAGAAGUGUUUUCUGUUAGAUGAGUAGCAAAAGUUCCUUGGAAUGGGACAUCAUAGAGGGUGAGAAUCCCGUAUUUGGUUAUUCAUUCUAGCUUUGUGAUACACUUUCAAAGAGUCGGAUUGUUUGGGAAUGCAGUCCAAAAUGGGUGGUAAAUUUCAUCUAAAGCUAAAUAUUGGCGAGAGACCGAUAGCGAACAAGUACCGAUGAGGGAAAGAUGAAAAGAACUUUGAAAAGAGAGUUAAACAGUACGUGAAAUUGUCAAAAGGGAAGCGUUUGACACCAGUGUUGUUUUCCGAAAAUCAAUUACGAAUGGCUUGAUUUUGUGUUGUAUGACCUUAAUCAGCUUUCUGCACUUUUUUCGAGUCUUUCUUAAGCACUUUUUGGUUAACAAGUCAACAUCAAUUUCUUUGUUGUAAAAGAGUAUUCGGAAGGUGGCUUUCUUUUCGGAGAAAGUGUUUAUAGCCCUAUACUUUCUACAAUCGGAGAGAUUGAGGUCUGCAGCGUAGAUCCUUCGGGUUAGAUACACUUGGCUAAGUUGUAGCUUUUCAUAGACAACUUGUUGACUAUGUUUAGU
rnacentral:misc_RNA from 1 species